rnacentral:rRNA from 1 species
UGGGGAAUUGUUCACAAUGGGCGCAAGCCUGAUGACGCAACGCCGCGUGGAGGAUGAAGGUCUUCGGAUUGUAAACUCCUGUUGCCCGGGACGAAAAGCUUCGACCUAACACGUCGAAGUCUGACGGUACCGGGUGAGGAAGCCCCGGCUAACUCUGUGCCAGCAGCCGCGGUAAUACAGAGGGGGCAAGCGUUGUUCGGAAUUACUGGGCGUAAAGGGCGCGUAGGUGGCCUUCUAAGUUGAACGUGAAAUCCCUGGGCUCAACCCAGGAACUGCGUCCAAGACUGGGAGGCUUGAAUCCGGGAGAGGGAUGCGGAAUUCCAGGUGUAGCGGUGAAAUGCGUAGAUAUCUGGAGGAACACCGGUGGCGAAGGCGGCAUCCUGGACCGGUAUUGACACUGAGGCGCGAAAGCCAGGGGAGCAAACGG